GAUGAACGCUGGCGGCGUGCCUAAUACAUGCAAGUCGAGCGAACGGGCGAGAAGCUUGCUUCUCUGAUGUUAGCGGCGGACGGGUGAGUAACACGUGGAUAACCUACCUAUAAGACUGGGAUAACUUCGGGAAACCGUAGCUAAUACCGGAUAAUAUUUUGAACCGCAUGGUUCAAAAGUGAAAGACGGUCAUGCUGUCACUUAUAGAUGGAUCCGCGCUGCAUUAGCUAGUUGGUAAGGUAACGGCUUACCAAGGCAACGAUGCAUAGCCGACCUGAGAGGGUGAUCGGCCACACUGGAACUGAGACACGGUCCAGACUCCUACGGGAGGCAGCAGUAGGGAAUCUUCCGCAAUGGGCGAAAGCCUGACGGAGCAACGCCGCGUGAGUGAUGAAGGUCUUCGGAUCGUAAAACUCUGUUAUUAGGGAAGAACAUAUGUGUAAGUAACUGUGCACAUCUUGACGGUACCUAAUCAGAAAGCCACGGCUAACUACGUG
rnacentral:rRNA from 1 species